rnacentral:lncRNA from 1 species
UUAUUAUUGUAUAUAUAAUUCAUAUAUUUAUAUAUUUAUAAUAUUUACUUAUUAUUUAUUUUUUUUAUAUAUUGAGUAUUUCUCUUUUUUAUACUUUAUAUUUAGUUAAUGUCUACAUUUUUUAUUUUAAGAUAGAUGUUUAAAUCUUUACGUAUUUUUCUAUUUUUAAUGUAAAACGGCAAUGUUUAAUAGAAGAACUUGGACAAAUAGUCAAACAUAUUUAUGUUUAAUGUAGUAUUUCCAUUUUUAUGUUGUAUGUUUUACUUAUAUUUAUUAUUUUAGAAAUUAUAUAUAAUGUUUUUUGUUUUUUUUUUAUAAAACGGUAAUGUUACAUUAUGGAGAUAAGCCAUCUUUUUUUUUAAGUGAAAAAUAGUAAUCUUACAUAUGUUUAAUGUAGUUUUUCCAUUUUUUAAUGCUGUAUGUUUACAUAUAUUUUACAAUUUUCGAAAAUAAUUAAGAUUAAAAUGUAAAACUAUAUUUUAUGCCACGUGUCAUCUUUCGGGAUAAAUUUUUUCCGCUGAUGUGGACGUCCUAUGGAGCCUCAAAAGCUCCAUUUUAUUAGUAUAGAUUAAUUAUUUAUUUAUUAAAAUUAAAAAACGGAACGACAUGAAAAUGUAAUUUUUUCAAAAAGCAAUGGCAGAAUCCCAAAAAAGAUCUUAG